GAUGUGGCCAAUUAGUAGGCACGGUUUUGUUGACGCUGAGAACAGAAUGUAUGUUUUUAAAUAACAUUCAUAGAAUGUUCUUUGAACCUUACUGUUUUCUUGUGGUCUUUAUGGAAAGUUCUCUUAAUGUUCUGAGAAUAUGACUUUAAAUAUAACCAUGAUGAAACCUGUAAAAAACGUUAUGCUGAAGUACUGACAUCCCCAUCUAAGAAACAUGGUUCUCAGAACAUUGUGCUAGCUGGGAAUUUGUUUAUUUUUGACUGCGAACAAUCGCAGUAAAUGACUUGAUUGUUACCCAGAAAUGAUUUGAUACUGAGAUAAUGUCUGCAUUGGGCCUUUAUAUAAUCCACUAAAUAAUGCUAAUAUUAGCUUUUGCAUUUUAACUUUUAAUGUGGGAGAUCUUUUUUUUAAAACUCAAAAUAUGUCACUAAACCAAGACUCAGGUACAAGCCAGUUUCAUGGUACAGAUAAUGUUCUACAAUAUAUUAAACCCAUGACAUUUUUGUAGAAUGACCCAUUUACAGAAGUUCUAGUAGCCUAAUUUUCUCCAAAAGUUGGGUUUAUAACGUUGGUCUCAAAAUGUAAAAUAGACAAGCAUCAAAAUUAUCUAAAUGACUUUUGAUUCUGUAGCCUAAACCUGAAUUGCAGAAGUUUGUUUACAACCCGAGUUCAAGUGAGUACAAGCUUAACUGAAUGACAACAGAGACAGAAAACAAUACGUCAUUUUAUUGAAUAGUUUGGGGUAGGCCUUGUCUCCAAGAAAUGCCCCUCAAAGCCAGCAUUCCUCGAGGAUGAGGCUUACCCCAAACUAUUCAAUCAAAUUCCAUAUUCUAUUCUGUUUUACCUCAAUAAGCAAUUAAAUAAAUAUUUUGAAAGCGACUGUUUUCUGGAUGAUGUAAGAUAAACAGUACCAGUCAAAAGUUUGGAUACACCAACUCAUUUAAGGGUUUUUCUUUAUUUGUACUAUUUUCUACAUUGUAAAAUAAUAGUGAAGACAUCAAAACUAUGAAAUAAAACAUAUGGAAUCUAAAAACGUGUUAAACAAAUACAAAUAUUGUUGCCCUGGGGCUUCAUGCUGGCAAACCACCUGGUUUUUAAGAAGGUUCACUGGGCCAUGGGCCUGGACUGCUGCAGGAACUGCUUAACAGGGGCCGCACCCAUCACCAGGGAGACCCUGGAGUAUUUCAUGAGCCUUCGCCUCCCCUUGUAUGAGCUGUAUGGGAUGAGUGAAAGCACCGGCCCUCACACCAUCUCCUGGGAGAAUAACUUCAAGAUCAUGAGCUGUGGAAAGGUGGUGAAUGGCUGCCAAACAAAGUUGGACAAGCCAGACGAGGAUAGGAAUGGUGAGAUCUGUUUCUGGGGGCGUCAUGAGGCCUUGGACCUGGAGGGCUGGCUGCACUCUGGAGCAAGCACGAAAAGGACAACAUCCUGUUCAUCACAGGGAGGAUAGAGGAGCUGAUCAUAACAACAGGUGGAGAGAAUAUUCCACCUGUGCCCAUUGAGGAUGCAGUGAAAGCAGAGACCGCCAUCAUCAGCAACGCCAUGUUGCUCGGAGACAAGCUCAAAUUCCUCUCUAUGAUGCUCACACUCAAAUGUGUAGUCGACGACAACGGUUAUAUGACGGACGAGCUGACCCCAGAGGCCUUGGCAUUCUGCCAGCAGCGUGGUGUCAUGGAAACCAAGGCCUCUGAGAUUAUAGCCAGUAAGGAGCCAGCUGUUUACAAGGCCAUCCAGGAGGGCAUAGAGCUA